CUGAAACCAGGAACGAGAGACUUUAGAGAUCAAGUUUCCAACACUCAAGCCUUCCGGACCCAGGAAAAUCACCCCAGCCCUCAUGAGCCUGGAGGUCACACCUGGCACUGAGGGCCACCCAGUCUUCCUGGCCCCUCCAGCAUGUGUCUGGAGUCCCCUCCAACCUCUGUAGCCGGGGAUCCCCUUGAGGGGCAGCUGCCCACCCCUGCCUGAGCCAACACCUGCUGCCCAGCUCCCGGUGGCAUCCUGGUCCCCACUGAGAAGCAAGGGGCCCUGAGCAGCCCCCAUGCACACAGUUGGUGCUCAGCCAAGGCUGCUUCAGUGCCUCCCUGUGUCCUCAGACCAGUGCCCUGCCCAGAAGACUUCACGGCUGAUGUUCAAGAUCAAACACCAGGGAUGAUACAGGAAAAUCGAAUCAUUGGAUAAUAAGAUCAAUUUGGAAGACA
ensembl:lncRNA